UUUUGUACGUAUUGUUUUUUACUGUUUGUUUUGUACGUACUGUAAUCCUUGUUGUUUACUGCAAUAAAAAAAAAAAAAUUUAAAAAAAACAAUAAUAAUGCUAAUAAUAAAAGCCGCCUCCAUUUUAAAGUCUGUAUCAUCAGACAGACGUCACGUUACGUCACGUUACGUCACGCAGGCGUUAGUUCAGGUGAAGUCAGACGAUGGACGGUUAUUAUUUACCUGAACUUAAUGCGAUAGGACAGAGAGUAAACACGGGAUUCAAGCUUUGAAAGUCAAGGUGUGAUGGGGUCAUGGAUGCUGGUUUGGAUUCUGUGUACCACAGUCACUCUGAUGGAACCUCUAAAGGCGUCAAUUGCGCGUGUGCUGGAAUGUGUUGUGGAUAAUCAUGGCAUGACGCAGUGGGACAGUCCUCAGUUUUCAUGGCUGGUUGAUGGCGUUACAGUAACCAAUCAAACCGCCCUGUUAGCAGACGGCAGUAGACUAGACAUUUCUGAGAUUAAGGGCGUUAACUUCACCUGCAUCAUCAAGAGCAGCCUGGGGACAGUGACUACACAUUAUCAAAUACCAGAAGGUAUUGCUCAAUGCCAAGAACGCAUGGCAUUUUAAAAAUUUUCAUGACGUGACA
rnacentral:lncRNA from 1 species